rnacentral:tRNA from 1 species
CGGGGCGUAGUAUAGCGGCAGUAUGCAUGCUUUGGGAGCAUGAGGCCCGAGUUCAAUUCUCGGCGCCCCGA